AACGAACGCUGGCGGCAGGCCUAACACAUGCAAGUCGAGCGAGACCUUCGGGUCUAGCGGCGGACGGGUGAGUAACGCGUGGGAACGUGCCCUUUGCUACGGAAUAGCCCCGGGAAACUGGGAGUAAUACCGUAUGUGCCCUUCGGGGGAAAGAUUUAUCGGCAAAGGAUCGGCCCGCGUUGGAUUAGGUAGUUGGUGGGGUAAUGGCCUACCAAGCCGACGAUCCAUAGCUGGUUUGAGAGGAUGAUCAGCCACACUGGGACUGAGACACGGCCCAGACUCCUACGGGAGGCAGCAGUGUGGAAUCUUAGACAAUGGGGGAAACCCUGAUCUAGCCAUGCCGCGUGAGCGAUGAAGGCCUUAGGGUUGUAAAGCUCUUUCAGGUGGGAAGAUAAUGACGGUACCACCAGAAGAAGCCCCGGCUAACUCCGUGCCAGCCGCCGCCGUAA
rnacentral:rRNA from 1 species